rnacentral:rRNA from 1 species
UACGUAGGUGGCAAGCGUUGUCCGGAAUUAUUGGGCGUAAAGCGCGCGCAGGCGGUCCUUUAAGUCUGAUGUGAAAGCCCACGGCUCAACCGUGGAGGGUCAUUGGAAACUGGGGGGACUUGAGUGCAGAAGAGGAGAGUGGAAUUCCACGUGUAGCGGUGGAAUGCGUAGAGAUCCGGAAGAACACCGGAGGCGAAGGCGGCUUGCUGGGCUUGGUCUGACGCUGAGGCGCGAAAGCGUGGGGAGCGAACAGG